ACCGGAAUCCAUUGUGCACAGCAACCCCGCGGAUGAAGAGAACGCGAACGGAAAGGGAUACCAGAAGGGUCAGCUCAAGCCAAUGGACACAAUCUUUGUGAAAAACGUGCGAGAGGCAGGCCCCGCCCACAUGGCAGGACUGUGCGAGGGUACGAGAGAGGAGGGGGAGGGAGGGAG